GUCGAGCGGCAGCGCGGGGGCAACCCUGGCGGCGAGCGGCGAACGGGUGAGUAACACAUCGGAACGUACCCUGUCGUGGGGGAUAGCCCGGCGAAAGCCGGAUUAAUACCGCAUACGACCUGAGGGUGAAAGCGGGGGAUCGCAAGACCUCGCGCGAUAGGAGCGGCCGAUGGCGGAUUAGCUAGUUGGUGAGGUAAAGGCUCACCAAGGCGACGAUCCGUAGCUGGUCUGAGAGGACGACCAGCCACACUGGAACUGAGACACGGUCCAGACUCCUACGGGAGGCAGCAGUGGGGAAUUUUGGACAAUGGGGGCAACCCUGAUCCAGCCAUUCCGCGUGAGUGAAGAAGGCCUUCGGGUUGUAAAGCCCUUUCGGCAGGAACGAAGCGGUGGAGGCUAAUACCUUUCAUCAAUGACGGUACCUGAAGAAGAAGCACCGGCUAACUACGUGCCAGCAGCCGCGGUAAUACGUAGGGUGCGAGCGUUAAUCGGAAUUACUGGGCGUAAAGCGUGCGCAGGCGGUUCUAUAAGACAGAUGUGAAAUCCCCGGGCUUAACCUGGGAACUGCGUUUGUGACUGUAGGACUGGAGUGUGGCAGAGGGGGGUGGAAUUCCACGUGUAGCAGUGAAAUGCGUAGAGAUGUGGAGGAACACCGAUGGCGAAGGCAGCCCCCUGGGUUAACACUGACGCUCAUGCACGAAAGCGUGGGGAGCAAACAGGAUUAGAUACCCUGGUAGUCCACGCCCUAAACGAUGCGAACUAGGUGUUGGAGAAGGAGACUUCUUUAGUACCGUAGCUA
rnacentral:rRNA from 1 species